rnacentral:rRNA from 1 species
UACAGAGGUCUCAAGCGUUGUUCGGAUUCAUUGGGCGUAAAGGGCACGCAGGCGGUGCGGCGCGUUUCGCGUGACAGCGGAGGGCUUAACUCUCCGAGGAUGCGAAAGACGGCGGCACUUGAGGGCCAGAGAGGGACACGGAAUUCCGGGUGGAGUGGUGAAAUGCGUAGAGAUCCGGAGGAACACCGAAGGCGAAGGCAGUGUCCUGGCUGGUGACUGACGCUGAGGUGCGAAAGCUAGGGGAGCGAACGGG